rnacentral:rRNA from 1 species
UGAGGAAUAUUGGACAAUGGGUUAGCGCCUGAUCCAGCCAUCCCGCGUGAAGGAUUAAGGUCCUAUGGAUUGUAAACUUCUUUUGUAUAGGGAUAAACCUACUCUCGUGAGAGUAGCUGAAGGUACUAUACGAAUAAGCACCGGCUAACUCCGUGCCAGCAGCCGCGGUAAUACGGAGGGUGCAAGCGUUAUCCGGAUUUAUUGGGUUUAAAGGGUCCGUAGGCGGAUCUGUAAGUCAGUGGUGAAAUCUCACAGCUUAACUGUGAAACUGCCAUUGAUACUGCAGGUCUUGAGUAAAUUUGAAGUGGCUGGAAUAAGUAGUGUAGCGGUGAAAUGCAUAGAUAUUACUUAGAACACCAAUUGCGAAGGCAGGUCACUAAGAUUUAACUGACGCUGAUGGACGAAAGCGUGGGGAGCGAACA